GCUGGGCACAGAGUAAGUUUCUUCACUUAGCUCCUACUAACAGUGGUGGUUGGGUGGCUGUUUACUGACUGGAUUUCUUACCCUUUUAAGAAGGAAUCCCCCUCUAAAAUGAAGAUUGUUCUAUAUCCAGUUGGUGUUGGUAUUAGGAGAUCUGCACAUCCCACACCGGUGCAACAGUUUGCCAGCUAAAUUCAAAAAACUCCUGGUGCCAGGAAAAAUUCAGCACAUUCUCUGCACAGGAAACCUUUGCACCAAAGAGAGUUAUGACUAUCUCAAGACUCUGGCUGGUGAUGUUCAUAUUGUGAGAGGAGACUUCGAUGAGAAUCUGAAUUAUCCAGAACAGAAAGUUGUGACUGUUGGACAGUUCAAAAUUGGUCUGAUCCAUGGACAUCAAGUUAUUCCAUGGGGAGAUAUGGCCAGCUUAGCCCUGUUGCAGAGGCAAUUUGAUGUGGACAUUCUUAUCUCGGGACACACACACAAAUUUGAAGCAUUUGAGCAUGAAAAUAAAUUCUACAUUAAUCCAGGUUCUGCCACUGGGGCAUAUAAUGCCUUGGAAACAAACAUUAUUCCAUCAUUUGUGUUGAUGGAUAUCCAGGCUUCUACAGUGGUCACCUAUGUGUAUCAGCUAAUUGGAGAUGAUGUGAAAGUAGAACGAAUCGAAUACAAAAAACCUUAAAGCCAGGCCUGUCUUGAUGAUUUUUGGUUUUUUUUCAUUGUCCUGUUGAAAUCAAGUAAUUAAACAUUUAAGAGCCACAAAAUUGUAUCACUUUUAUAAUAUUUUGCAGUAAAAUAUAAUACCAUCUUCUCUGUUAAUACAUAAUUGCUCCAAGCUUCCUGUAAACUAUAAGAAUAUAUUUAGUUUACAGUAUAUGGAUUCUAUGAAAAAAUGUCCACAACACAGUAAUUGGUCACUUGUUAAGAAAAAUUUAUCCUUGUAAGUAUCUUCAAAGUUGAUAUUUGGAACUUUAUUCCAAAAGUAGUGCAUGUGGAGAAAGAAUCUAGACUUUCUUGUAUACAUUUUUCUCUUCUCCAGUAAUAAACAAUUACCUUUCAUUUA
rnacentral:lncRNA from 1 species